rnacentral:rRNA from 1 species
UACGGGGGGAGCAAGCGUUGUUCGGAUUUACUGGGCGUAAAGGGCGCGUAGGCGGUCAGCACAAGUCAGUUGUGAAAUCUCCGAGCUUAACUCGGAAAGGUCGACUGAUACUGUGCGACUAGAGUGCAGAAGGGGCAACUGGAAUUCUCGGUGUAGCGGUGAAAUGCGUAGAUAUCGAGAGGAACACCUGCGGCGAAGGCGGGUUGCUGGGCUGACACUGACGCUGAUGCGCGAAAGCUAGGGGAGCGAACGGG